rnacentral:misc_RNA from 1 species
CGUAGGGGAAGGCGAACUCCAUGAGGUUUCGCAGGGACUUCCUCGAGCCCGGGGUGGGGUACCCCGUGAUCGCGCUGACGAUGCUCUUGUUGAGCUUCACCCCCUUGGGGGUCACGACAAAGCCCAGGAACUCGGCAGUGUGCCGGUGGAACUGGCUCCUCUGCAGGGAGCAGUAGACGUAGUGGUAGCGGAAGCGCACGAGGACCUGGCGCACAUGGUGGUAGUGCUCCUCCUGGCUCAUGGAGUAGAUCAGGACGUCCUGCCCGUAGGAGACGACAAAGAGGCCGAUCAUGUCCUUUAGGAUGAAGUGGAUCACGCCCUGGGGGAUGAUCGGGUCUGCACAGAUCAGGAAGGGCUGGUAGCUCGCCAUGUCUUGGAGCUCCAAACCAAAUGCCACUUUCCAUACAUCUUCUGUCUGGUGUAUGCUCAUGCUUUCCUCCACGAUGGUCCCACGCAGCUCCAGCUUGGUGAACCAUGUAGCUCCGUGUAACUGGUCGAACAGUUCUGGAAUCAUCUGUACGUAGUCAUGCCUGCUGGUCAGCAUGUCCUUCGGGUCCCAGAAUUCCUCCUGCUUGGCUUUUUCUUGCGUCCCGGCACCCACAGGUUCCCACGGCGCGGUGGAGGCGCAGUCGUAAAAGGUCUCCUCGCUUUGAUCACUGUCUCCAGCCUGCUGAAGCUCAGAGGGCUCUGAUUCAGAAAGAUCAUCGGAUCCGUCUGAGCUUGGCUGGUCGGAAGUCUCCUCAUCUGCUUCCUUCGGGUUAAACACGUCGGCCAGGUCGGAGUAUUGGUGUGGCAAUCCGGGCAGCAGGCUUACGGCAUGGUGUUCCAGAGCUAUGCAUGGUGGGGGCGGGCGGAAGCAGUUCUUCAGGCAGUAGGGAGAGUGGAAG